ACGAACGCUGGCGGCGUGCUUAACACAUGCAAGUCGAACGGAAAGACCCCGCUUUUGUGGGGUGCUCGAGUGGCGAACGGGUGAGUAACACGUGAGUAACCUGCCCUUGACUUUGGGAUAACUUCAGGAAACUGGGGCUAAUACCGGAUAGGAGCUCCUGCUGCAUGGUGGGGGUUGGAAAGUUUCGGCGGUUGGGGAUGGACUCGCGGCUUAUCAGCUUGUUGGUGGGGUAGUGGCUUACCAAGGCUUUGACGGGUAGCCGGCCUGAGAGGGUGACCGGCCACAUUGGGACUGAGAUACGGCCCAGACUCCUACGGGAGGCAGCAGUGGGGAAUAUUGCACAAUGGGCGGAAGCCUGAUGCAGCAACGCCACGUGCGGGAUGACGGCCUUCGGGUUGUAAACCGCUUUCGCCUGUGACGAAGCGUGAGUGACGGUAAUGGGUAAAGAAGCACCGGCUAACUACGUG
rnacentral:rRNA from 1 species